CUUCUUCUCUCCAAAGCCCCCCAGCACAUAGUUGUAUAUUUUUUUUAGUUGUAGGUCCUUCUAGUUGUGGCAUGUGGGACGCCACCUCAGCAUGGCCUGAUGAGCAGUGCUAGGUCUGCGCCCAGAAUCCGAACUGACGAAACCCUGGGCCGAAAAGGCAGAGUGGGUGAACUUACUUAACCGCUCAGCCAUGGGGCUGGCCCCUCUUCGCUGCUUUUCUUGUCUUUGACCCCCUGCAUUCAUUUACACCCCAAGAAAAGCCAUGGCUAUGGUGGUUAGAUGCUGGAAUAAUAAGGCAAAUGUUGGAGUUUAUACAAUAAGCAAGCUCUCUUCCUUUUUUAUAGAUAACAUGGAAAACUUCACCAGUCUCACAGUAGAGUGACAUUUAUACACAGGGAAAGAGUGUAUGCUUGGAUCCUAGACAACCCUAACCACUUAUGUAUAAACAAAUCAAGAUAUAGGACAUGCAGAAAAUGGGUCAGCAACAAGUAGAAUGUUUAUGGAAAAUGAAACAUGUAUUUCCUAUACCUAUGAACAUGAAGUCGGUGAGGCUGCACUAUGUUGUGAUGUUAAAAUAUGUUGGCACCUCCUAAUUACUGGUUUCCGCAAGACAUUUGGGAGAUAUUAUAUACUCACCCUUGGUCAUGAUCUUCAAACAAGCUCACUCUACCAUGUGGUCAGUUUUUAUAUGAGACUUACAGGUAAUUUAAAGGUGAGAAAAUUUGCUACUCUAAUUGCCUGAAAUAAAGAAAAAAGUCUGAAAAAUGAUUAGGAUCA
rnacentral:lncRNA from 1 species